AAUAUUCGUCAAUGGAGGAAACUCUGUACGAGCAAUGCCGCGAGAGUGCUGAAGGUCUUAUAGAUUGUAAAACUCUGUUGUAAUGGAAUAACAACCGCUAGAGGAAAUGCUAGUGGUCUGACGGUACAUUACCAGAUAGCCCCGACUAACUACGUUCCAGCUGCGGCGGUAAUACGUAGGGGGCGAGCGUUAUCCGGAUUUAUUGGGUGUAAAGGGUGUGUAGGUGGUUUAUUAAGUCUAAAAUUAAAGCCUGGAGCUUAACUCCAGUUCGUUUUAGAAACUGGUAGACUUGAGUAUAGUAGAGGCAAGUGGAAUUUCUAGUGUAGCGGUUAAAUGCGUAGAUAUUAGGAGGAACACCAGUGGCGAAGGCGACCCUCUGGACUGCAACUGACGCUGAGGCACGAAAGCGUGGGGAGCAAACAGG
rnacentral:rRNA from 1 species